rnacentral:rRNA from 1 species
UACGUAGGGACCAAGCGUUGUUCGGAUUUACUGGGCGUAAAGGGCGCGUAGGCGGCAUGACAAGUCACUUGUGAAAUCUCCGGGCUUAACUCGGAACGGCCAAGUGAUACUGUCAAGCUAGAGUGCAGAAAGGGCAAUCGGAAUUCUUGGUGUAGCGGUGAAAUGCGUAGAUAUCAAGAGGAACACCUGAGGCGAAGGCGGGUUGCUAGGCUGACACUGACGCUGACAGCGCGAAAGCCAGGGGAGCAAACGGGG